rnacentral:rRNA from 1 species
AUAUUAUUGGGCCUAAAGCGUCCGUAGCUGGCCGACCAAGUCUACCGGGAAAUCCACCCGCCCAACGGGUGGGCGUCCGGUAGAAACUGGCCGGCUUGGAACCGGAAGGCUCAGAGAGUACGUCCGGGGUAGGAGUGAAAUCCCGUAAUCCCGGACGGACUACCGAUGGCGAAAGCACUCUGAGAAGACGGCUACGACAGUGAGGGACGAAAGCUCGGGUCUCAAACC